rnacentral:rRNA from 1 species
AUUGAACGCUGGCGGCAUGCCUUACACAUGCAAGUCGAACGGCAGCGGACCUUCGGGUGCCGGCGAGUGGCGAACGGGUGAGUAAUAUAUCGGAACGUACCUUUCAGUGGGGGAUAACGUAGCGAAAGUUACGCUAAUACCGCAUAUUCUGUGAGCAGGAAAGCAGGGAAUCGCAAGACCUUGCGCUGAUUGAGCGGCCGAUAUCAGAUUAGCUAGUUGGUGAGGUAAAGGCUCACCAAGGCGACGAUCUGUAGCGGGUCUGAGAGGAUGAUCCGCCAUACUGGAACUGAGACACGGUCCAGACUCCUACGGGAGGCAGCAGUGGGGAAUUUUGGACAAUGGGCGCAAGCCUGAUCCAGCCAUGCCGCGUGAGUGAAGAAGGCCU